AACCCUUUAAUUGUACUGAGAACUUCUAUACUAUAUAGAAUUUUUUAUGCUAAAACUAGUAACAAGAGAUACCCCUCUCCCUAGUGUAAAUGUAAGUCAGCAAGAACCCAUCACUGACAACUAACAGAUUUAAACAAAAGUAGUAACUCCACAAGAAAACCCCACUUUUUCUCCUGUUAACCUAACACAAGAACACUUCAAGAAAGAUUAAAAGAAAAAGAAGGAACUCGGCAAAACCUAGCCCCGCCUGUUUACCAAAAACAUCGCCUCUUGAUUACCUCUAUAAGAGGUCUUGCCUGCCCAGUGACUCUGUUCAACGGCCGCGGUACCCUAACCGUGCGAAGGUAGCGUAAUCACUUGUUUUCUAAAUAAAGACCAGUAUGAAAGGCGUCACGAGGGUUAAACUGUCUCCUCUUUCUAAUCAGUGAACCUAAUCUUCCCGUGAAGAAGCGGGAAUUACCCCAUAAGACGAGAAGACCCUGUGGAGCUUAAAACAUCAUAACACUGCUAACAAAUACCAAUAUUCAGAUACCCCCUCCCUCAAAGCACGAUGAUUAUAAGUUUUUGGUUGGGGUGACCGCGGAGAAAAAUUAAACCUCCACUAUGAAAAGAGCCCUCCUUAACAAUAAGCUACAACCUUAUGUAUCAACAAAUUGACAUUAUUGACCCAACAAAUUGAUCAACGAACCAAGUUACCCCAGGGAUAACAGCGCAAUCCACUUUGAGAGCUCUUAUCGACAAGUGGGCUUACGACCUCGAUGUUGGAUCGGGAUAUCCUAGUGGUGCAGCCGCUACUUAAGGUUCGUUUGUUCAACGAAUAAAAUCCUACGUG
rnacentral:rRNA from 1 species